UCCCAGAUGAAACGCGUGACGGACAUAGGCAAGCUUUGAGAGCUGGUGGGCGUAGCCCACGCGGGUUCGAAUCCCGCCCCCGGCG
rnacentral:tRNA from 1 species